GACGAACCGUGCGAACGUUAUUCGGAAUCACUGGGCUUAAAGCGUGUGUAGGCGGAUCGUUAAGUACCUUGUGAAAUCCCACGGCUUAACCGUGGAACUGCUCGGUAUACUGGCGGUCUUGAGCAACCUAGGGGCGAGCGGAACAAAUGGUGGAGCGGUGAAAUGCGUAGAUAUCAUUUGGAACGCCAAUGGUGAAAACAGCUCGCUGGGGGUUUGCUGACGCUGAGACACGAAAGCCAGGGGAGCAAACGGG
rnacentral:rRNA from 1 species